rnacentral:rRNA from 1 species
UACAGAGGGUGCAAGCGUUAAUCGGAAUUACUGGGCGUAAAGCGUGCGUAGUCGGCUUUUUAAGUCGGGUGUGAAAUCCCCGGGCUCAACCUGGGAAUUGCAUUCGAUACUGGAUGGCUAGAGUUCGGCAGAGGGAAGUGGAAUUUCUGGCGUAGCGGUGAAAUGCGUAGAUAUCAGAAGGAACAUCAGUGGCGAAAGCGACUUCCUGGACCAGAACUGACGAUCAGGCACGAAAGCGUGGGGAGCAAACAGG